rnacentral:rRNA from 1 species
AGAGUUUGAUCAUGGCUCAGAACGAACGCUGGCGGCAGGCUUAAGACAUGCAAGUCGAACGCCCUCUUCGGAGGGAGUGGCAGACGGGUGAGUAACGCGUGGGAACAUGCCCCAAGAUACGGAACAACUUCGGGAAACUGAAGCUAAUACCGUAUGUGACCGAGAGGUGAAAGAUUUAUCGCCUUGGGAUUGGCCCGCGUAAGAUUAGCUUGUUGGUGGGGUAAUGGCCUACCAAGGCGACGAUCUUUAGCUGGUCUGAGAGGGAUGAUCAGCCACACUGGGACUGAGACACGGCCCAGACUCCUACGGGAGGCAGCAGUCGGGAAUCUUGGACAAUGGGCGCAAGCCUGAUCCAGCCAUGCCGCGUGAAUGAUGAAGGCCUUAGGGUUAUAAAAUUCUUUCGUCGGGGACGAUAAUGACGGUACCCGAAGAAGAAGCUCCGGCUAACUUCGUGCCAGCAGCCGCGGUAAUACGAAGGGGGCUAGCGUUGUUCGGAAUUACUGGGCGUAAAGCGCGUGUAGGCGGACCGUUAAGUCGGGGGUGAAAGCCCAGAGCUCAACUCUGGAACUGCCUUCGAUACUGGCGAUCUGGACCCAAGUAGAGGCGAGUGGAAUUACGAGUGUAGAGGUGAAAUUCGUAGAUAUUCGUAGGAACACCAGUGGCGAAGGCGACUCGCUGGACUUGUGGUGACGCUGAGACGCGAAAGCGUGGGGAGCAAACAGGAUUAGAUACCCUAGUAGUCC